GGGGAUUACGAACGGGUACUUGCCGUCCGAUCCAGGGGCGGCUGGGGGAGGCGGCACAGGCUGGGAAGCCAGUAUGGGCUGACCCGGACCAUUAUCGCCUGUGAGAAUUGUUGGGAGGCAGAAAAAAGAUCAAGUUAAAUAUAUAAUUUACAGAUCAAAAACGUAUUCACGUUCUCUUGCCGUCUUUGGGUCACUAGCGGAGUCAUGGUUGUGAUGAGGGCAAGUCAAGGAAGCUCCGCACAUUUAACCAUGAGCUGCUUCAGGAAAGGUCAGGAUCUCUCCUGUUAUUAUGGCUCAAUAAUUGCAAGUCGGUAUUUUGAGUAUAGCAGCGUGUGCGCCGUUCCUAUCGCUGAUUGCGCCAAUUUGGGCUAGGGAGCCGACGCCUUCCCCAGCGCCCAAGACCCGACAAAAAUGACUAAAUAUAUUUCAAAAAAAUGGUAUAAGGUGACUGGCUUGGCUGCUGGCCGCUACAUAAGCUCAGGCUGCUAUGAGCUCGCCCGCCUCCGCCCGCCCUCAACCGCAACCCUCGGCAUACCUUGAAGCAAUCUUCUUGCUUCACUUGCUCCAGUACAACUCAGGGUCUGGGCCAAAAGUGAAAAAACUAGCGCGUGGGCUAAGGUGCUCCGUGACACCAUGCUGAUGUUCUACCUUCGGGCAAAAAAUGCUGAAGUCGUCACUUCCAAGGCGUGUAGACCUUAUGCGGUUUCCAUUCUUGUAUGUUAUGUUUCAAUUUCAGGAGAUUCCAAUUUUCCUAGUCGAGCACCACCGAAGGGCGAAGCCAGCCGUGUCCUAAGGAGCGGUGUGCAGCACUUGUAGGGCUCAACACCCCCUAUGCGCGACUUCACUCCGGCAAACAGCGCACUGGGCGUUGGACUAAGCGAACGGUAGAGGACGUACGGGCGACACGGAAAAGCGGCCCACAUGCCUAAGGACUAGGAAAUAGCUAUCAAGACAUGUUCAUGGCAGCCUGGCAUAAUGUGAACUAGCCCCUUUCAUGCCCUAGUCCAGUCCGCCUGAACGUUCUUGGGCCUGCAUGGCUCAGGUCCGUACGCAAGUCGGCAAGGAGCGCCUUGGAAACAUGCAUUCGGGCACUGGGGCCUUGAAAUAAG
rnacentral:lncRNA from 1 species